rnacentral:tRNA from 1 species
UGGGUGGUAGCUCAGUGGUCAAGCAUUUGCUUGUCAUGCACAAGGCUACAGGUUCAACCUCUGUCACCCAC